UGGGGAAUAUUGCACAAUGGGGGAAACCCUGAUGCAGCAACGCCGCGUGAGUGAUGAAGGUCUUCGGAUUGUAAAGCUCUGUCUUUAGGGACGAUAAUGACGGUACCUAAGGAGGAAGCCACGGCUAACUACGUGCCAGCAGCCGCGGUAAUACGUAGGUGGCAAGCGUUAUCCGGAUUUACUGGGCGUAAAGGGAGCGUAGGCGGAUAUUUAAGUGGGAUGUGAAAUACCCGAGCUUAACUUGGGAGCUGCAUUCCAAACUGGAUAUCUAGAGUGCAGGAGAGGAGAAUGGAAUUCCUAGUGUAGCGGUGAAAUGCGUAGAGAUUAGGAAGAACACCAGUGGCGAAGGCGAUUCUCUGGACUGUAACUGACGCUGAGGCUCGAAAGCGUGGGGAGCAAACAGGAUUAGAUACCCUGGUAGU
rnacentral:rRNA from 1 species